rnacentral:misc_RNA from 1 species
AAGAAGAAGAAGAAGAAGCAAGAAGAGGUGAGAUAUAGAUAGAAAGAAUUAUAUAAAAGAAGAGGUGAGAGUUAAGGAGGGUGUGGGUAUUUGAGAGGGAAAGUGUGGUUUCUUUAUAGUAAUGGGCGUUGAAGAAGAGAGGGGUCUUCUUCAGAAUAAGGACGACCCAUUUGGCGUAACCAAGACUCAAACUCCUGUAUUUUCUCUUGACG